rnacentral:rRNA from 1 species
GGAUAACUACGGAAAAGCUGUAGCUAAUACUUGCUUUAGCACUCUUGAUUAAGUUCUUGAGUGUGUACUUGUUAAGCCUUUUAAGAAAAAAGUUAUUAACUUAAGGAAUUAUAACAAAGAAGCAACACGUAAAUGGAUUUUCCAUUUUUUAGUGUGUAUCAAUCGAGUUUCUGACCUAUCAGCUUUUGAUGUUAGGGUAUUGGCCUAACAUGGCUAUGACGGGUAACGGGGAAUUAGAGUUCGAUUCCGGAGAGGGAGCCUGAGAAAUAGCUACCACAUCUAAGGAAGACAGCAGGCGCGUAAAUUACCCAAUUCUAAAGAAGAGAGGUAGUGACAAGAAAUAACAAUACAAGGCCAAUCUGGCUUUGUAAUUGGAAUGAUGGGAAUUUAAAACCUUCCCAAAACUCAAUUGGAGGGCAAGUCUGGUGCCAGCAGCCGCGGUAAUUCCAGCUCCAAUAGCGUAUAUUAAAAUUGUUGCAGUUAAAACGCUCGUAGUUGAAUUUCAAAGAAUCGAUAUUUUAAGUAACGCUUUGUAGAUUAAUCCACAUAACUGAUACUACGUAUCGACUUUGUGCGCAUUUUUCUACUUAUGUGUUCUUUUAAUUAAAAUGAUUCUUUUUAAGAUCUUUCUUUUUUGCUUCGGCAUUUUAGGAGAUCUUGUUACUUUGAGUAAAUUAGAGUGUUCAAAGCAAACAGAUUAUAGCAUCUUUAUGCGUUUGAAUACUACAGCAUGGAAUAACAAAAUUGAACAAGUCAGAAUUUUGUUCUUUUUUCUUAUUUUGGCUUAGUUACGAUUAAUAGGAGUAGCUUGGGGGCAUUUGUAUUCAGAUGUCAGAGGUGAAAUUCUUAGAUUUUCUGGAGACAAACAACUGCGAAAGCAUUUGCCUAAAAUACUUCCAUUAAUCAAGAACGAAAGUUAAGGGAGUGAAGACGAUCAGAUACCGUCGUAAUCUUAACCAUAAACUAUGCCGACUAGGCUUUGGAUGAAAGAUUUUAAAAUAAGAGUUUUUUCUCUGAGGAGUUAAAACUCUUAGAUUGCA